CUACAACAUCUGAUAAAAUUCUUCUAUUAUUUAUGCUUUGAUGGAUGUCCUUAUUAAAGGUAUUGUGGUACUCAAAUCCAAGAACCAUAUGCUAAGGAAGAAAAUUUGAAAUACAUGGACAAAAUAAAUUUGACAAGUAAUGAGCUUGAUUAAACAUAAAUCUAAAAUUCUUUACGCGGCCAGCAGAUGAGGUGAGUUCAACUGAAGUUCUUUGGCAUGGAUUCUAUAGUUUGUUUUAUACUUUCAAAGUUGUUUUGGGAUAGACUCUUGUGUUAUUAUUAGUAAGUUGUACUGCGUAUGGUCCAGGUUAACCUUGUAGAAUGGCUAAAGAUGAUGGUUGGUAACAGGCGCUCAGAAGAGGUUGGAGACCCAAAUAUAGAUAUGAAACCAGCUACACGUAAUCCGAAGAGAGCAAGUUGAGGAUGAAGAGAAACCUAUCUGGCAAAAUACAGCAGAAGCUUCAACUUCUAGCGAUGUGGAUUCAAAUAUAGAUAUGAAACCAGCUACACGUAAUCUGAAGAGAGCAAGUUGAGGAUGAAGAGAAACCUAUCUGGCAAAAUACAGCAGAAGCUUCAGCUUCUAGAGAUGUGGAACACGCAAAUGCUAGCGAGCAGAGAAAAAGGGGCAGGAAAUAAGAAGUCUGAUUUUGCAUUUUCUCUCAUUGGUUUAUGGAAUUUAUUCUUUUUAUAGGAUUUUCCACAAAAUGAUUGGUAAUAUAUAUUCUUUGGAUCCUAUUGUACAUCACGUGGGAGCUUCUCAAAAGUUUGCUGCACUGUAGGGAUUUUGCAUAAGGGACACUUUCAAGAAUUUAAAGGGUUCCCCUUCAGUUUGGAAGAUUCGGAACACCGAAUUCCAUGGACAACUGUUGGAUUUGUGUUGGAUUUGUGUAUCAGACAGUUCAAAGAAGAGUAUUCCUCAAGGCCUUAGUAUAUUGUCUCUCUUCUGCUGCCGAUAUUUGUUCUGGGUAUGACUGCUACGCAAACUUAUUUUGGAUCGAAAGCUAACUGAAUUUAUGUCAUCUUAGAUAUAAAUCACAGAAUUUGUUUUUCAGAAUA